GGAGAGGUGGGUGAGUGGCUGAAACCAGUUCCCUGCUAAGGAACCAUACGNAUUACNCGUAUCGAGGGUUCGAAUCCCUCCCUCUCCGCCA
rnacentral:tRNA from 1 species